GAGAAAAACAGAGGAGGUAAAAUUGAAAAUAAGUUAAUAAGUACUAGAAAGUAAGUCUUUCUUGCACAGAUUAUCAGGAAAAUAGGCUCUUGGUUAGAUAUACAUCUACAGAGGUAUACUGGGGAGUCCUUACAGGAACUGAGCCAAGGGAAAAUGAAAGACCUGGGAUGACACAAAGGGAAAUGCUGAGCUAUGACGCAGUUUCUCUAAAGAACUCUGGUGACCACAUGGGCAGUCUGAAGCUGGCAUUCACUCACAGCAUAAUCCUACAAGAAGACACAACGGAUCCGAUCUUCAUAUCUACCAGGUGUGACCAAUGAUAAGCUGAAAGUGUAAAUAAAAAACUAUCACAGUAAAAGACACAUUACAAUUGGAAGCAGGCCUAAUCUCAAGAAAGGCAAUUCCUAUUAGCCAGUGGUGAUUCCCAGUCAGGAACUCUGCAGAGAUCUCCUGGCAGCUGGGGAAAUGAGUAACCUCAAGGGCACUGGGCAGCUGACCAUAGCACCUACUAUAAUCCACUUGGAGCACUCAGAUCAGCCUGCUGUGUAUGCAUUUAUACUGCCUGGGAGAAGCUCCUUGAGGAUUCUGGAUGAUCUUGCUUCUUGAGGGGAGUUAGUGAGGAGAACUAGAGCCACCUCUGUGGCAGCUACUUGCUUAUAACCCAGAGUGUUCCUCUACUUCCCAGCCCAUAGCUUCACCUUCCACGUAUACCCCUGCUUGUCUAGAAGGUUCAUCUGAUGGGGUACACAGAUCUCAUCCCUGAGAGCUGAGUCCCUGGGCAUUCUACCUUCUAAGGCAAUGACUGCUGAUCGUAUCAUUUCAACAUCAAAACUCAGCAAAGAAGCAUUUUUUUAAUCAUCUUGGUGCCAAAUAUAUUCUUAUACCAAUUUUCAACUGCAGUUCUAUAUCUUCUAUGAAAUGGGUUAAUUGCCUUUAACAAAAUGUGGCACUAGAGUCUCCUUGACCUCUAGACUAUUGGGGUCAGUAACCUGGAAUAACUAUGACGUGACCAUAGCAUGAUUCCUGAAGGAAGUGAUCCUCCUCUGAGAAUCAACCCACCUAAACCUGUGGAACACAGAGACAGACACAAGAAGCAUAAUUCUGCAUGGGGAUCAGCAGGAGGGAUGUUCAACAAACACAUUCCUGUUUACCUGUUCCUGCCUCCUGGGCCCAUAUAUUUUAUUUAUUUAGAAUAGGGCGCCCUUGCUAUAGAGAGCUUAUGGUGUCAAGAGAAUGUUAUCUCCAGAGUAACACCACAACUGCCCAUUCUUAAACCUUUUCUGUUACUAGAUCAUCCUCACAGGUACUGGGUAGUGUGUUAUACACGAUAAUAAUGGCAGGUCCAGUGGCUUUGUGCUGCUAUCAUAUCUCCUCCUUUUCUGUAAAAUGGAUAAGCCAUUCCAGUGAGAUGUUAUUAGUGUCCUAUCUUGGUGGUUCUUACACUCUAAAUCUGCACAAAGUGGCACUGACUGAGGCCCUCAAAUCAGAAAAGGCAAAUUCAUAACUUUAGUCUAUAUUGAUUCCACUCAUGAUCAGUGGCAGCCUCUUCCAAGGUAGAAAGAGUUCAUAGCAAUCCUUGGAAUGUCUGAGCAUUCUCCUUUCUUCACUCUGUGUUAUCCAAGUAAAUGGUUGUAGGUCUUCUGAAAGGAAGGGAUGGUUCUGUAGAUAAUUAUCAUGCAGUUACAACAUUCUUCCUCCUGGAAAAGCAACCCUGAUUCUUCCCCAGUCAAGGGUCCAAGUCUAAAACAUAGCUCAGGUCUAGAAACUGUUAUGGAGGAAGUUUCAUCUUCCUGGUCACCUGUCUUUGAAUUCUUUUCAUAGUGUAAGCCGUAUCUGUGUUGGCUAGCCAUUUAUCUUGUUCUCAGAAUGCUGGGUUCUAUUACUAAUCAGCUGACUUUCUGUGCUCCCAGACACCUGGCUGCCACUCCCACCUUGCAAUUUAUUUAAUGAUUGCACCUAUCUCUUUUGCUAAGAGUUAAGUGCUUCCAAUUUGGCUUCAUCCUGUCUGCCUCUUCACUGCUAGGGAGUCAUGUCCCGAAUCAACAUAUUUUUUUCUUAAUUCUUAUUCUAGACCAGGGAAUCGUGCUCUGAAAUAACUUCUUUUUAACCUGUAGGAACUGGUUAAAAUUUCUGUGUCCUUCUCAUGACCACAUUCUUUACCAUGAGCGCAUUCUCAUUGGAGAUAGACAUCUCCCAAGAGCCCUCCUGCAGAGCACAAUUGGCUAACAGAUUUGCUGCCCAAGUGUGCCCACUCUCGCUUUGAAUCUUUCAAUUUCUUAUUCCGCCGUCUGUCAAGGUAACCCUGAAAUUUCGCUCCAUUAAGUGCAGGCCAGUACUGCCUCCACGCUUCAGUAGCUAUCCCCACAGCCUGCUAGCUCUUCGUUUUGAGUCUGUGGCAGGACUUUACAUCUUGCAUCGGAGGAGAGUGAGGAACCAAAAAGAGGCCAAAGUCCCUCUGUUUUAGCUAAGCCAGAUUAGACGCUCCAUUAUUCGGGCAGACCUUUAAACUCUGCAAAUAGCCUUCCAUUGCCAAAGAAUAGAUGAACCAAAAACCAGGUUUUUCAGGAAUUGCAAAUGAGCAGUUUCCAGGAAUCGCAACUGGGCGGUUUAUUCCAAAAACUGCAACCAGGUCAAAGUAUGGCAAAACCGGCUGUGGCAGUUAGAUGACUAAAAUAAAUCUCCUGCGCAAACCCCUGCCCGCGCCCAAAUAGUAGCCAAUAAGUUUGAAGUAUUACAUCUUAUAAUAUCCAAUAGUAAGUUAGAAUUAUUGGCCAAUAGAAUCAGCAGACAUUAUAAAAAAGCCAAUAGAAUAAAGAGAAUUUCAAGCCACCCAAACCCUAUAAAAAAUAGGCUAAUUUAGUGGGUCAGGACCUCCAGUUUGAAGCCGCUGUGUUGGUGACACUGGGAGUCCAGGCUCGAGCUUGCAAUAAACUCCUCGUGUAUUUACAUCAGAAGAGUUUCCUGUUGGUCUUCUUGGGGAUUUCGCGACUUGGACACAACAGAGAGUAUUCCUACAUUGUACGGCUUAGCUCUUCCACCACUGGGACAAAAAUCUCCCACAUUGGCAAUGUGGAAGAAAGGUUUAAAUUCCUCUUGUUUUCAGAGAUUUAGUUCACGGUUGGUGGCUCCCAAGUGGAGACAUCACGAUGGAAGGAUGUGGUGUAGCAAAAGUGCUCACUUCAUAGGGCCAGGAAGCAGAGCACAGGGCAAGAGCACAAGCAAGAGAUAUAACAUUGUUCAUAGGCGCAGCCCAGGUGACCCACCUCCCGUUGGGCUCCGUCUUCUAACAGCACUCUCUGCUGUGAGCGUCCGUGGAGCAUCCACUGAGGAGUACAGUGCCUCCCAUAACCACCUCUCCAGGAGACUCUUAAUCCAACUGACAAUUAAGAUUAAGUGUCAUGCACACUAAAACCUGCCCCUGCUUUAGUUUUGUGUUCUAACCCUGUGACCCAGCACCCUUGGGUUUCAGCUCCAUGGUACUCUUCCAGCUCUCGGCAGCAUAUGUCUGUUGGGUCCUAUGGCUCUUUCAGAAUACAAUUAUUUUCUUCUUUACCAAGCACAGAACAUUCCAGCAUAUUAUACUGUAAUGACUAUUUCUUAAUUAUAUCGUAUUCAUAUUAUACUGUAAUUUCCAAAUUUCUGGUCUAGAAGAGAAAUAGAUUUUAAUACGGUUGACAUCAUCCUGCAAAGAGGUAUCUUCACUGCUCUAAGAGAGAGGAGGCACUAUUUUUUAAUAGGGAAGCCAGACUAUUUCUGCUGAGAUUUUAAAAUUUUUGAGUGUUUGGGGUUAGAAAUUUCACAGACUUCUAUUUCCCAGCAAGGGCACUGAACUUGGCUGAGCAGAUUUUCCAAGGUUGAGAAUUUAACCUUUCUCUGGAGCUUUGUUACCCUAAUUACAAAGUCUUGGGCUGAUCUUUGCCUUAUUCUGCCCUCUGGCUGCAGGAGAUAAGAGUCUCUUCAUGGGCUGCCUAAGAUACCCUCUGACUUUCACUCUUUGCCUUUAAUUGGUGAUUAAUCAGUCUCAAGCUUUCACUGUCUUGCUCUAAGGCAAAAGUUAUGUUCUGCAACAGCCAUCUGAUUUCUUUGUCUUUGAGAUACUAUUAUCCCUUUCCCUCAAAUGCUUGAGGAGGGUACUGCCAGUGCAAUUCCCUCUGUCAAUAUUCCAUUCCAGUUUGAAGUUAUGAAAUUUUAACCAUUCCACAGCUUUCUUGUGACAAGGAUGAUGAAGCCCUGUGACGGAGUCUUUAUAGUGCACAGGUUUCACAGAUGUCAGACACGCAGACCAGUCUGGAGGCCCUGCUGUUACUUUUGCUUUUUCAUUAUUUUUUGAAGCCAAUUUCCCUCAAUUCAUAUUUUCACAUCUAAUUCUAUCUUGAUGUCUUUUUGGAGGAUCUUAACAGACACAGAACAGCUCUCGGGGAAAAUGAUCUGAGAUUUAAGAAAGGAAGGGUACAAAGGGGAAAACUGAACUGUAAUGCAGUUGCGAAAAAGCAACUGUCUGAUUUCAUGAGGAGUCUUGGAUCUGGGAUGGUCCUUCCGAAUUGUUGCAAACUGAGGCAAGAGGGUCAACAUUUUUUUUUUUUUUUGAGUACCGGGGAUCAAACUUGGGCCCUUGGGCUUUCGAGGCAGGCACCAGAACCACUGAGCUAAAUCCCCAACCCAGAAGGCCAAUAAUUUCUACCCUGAAACCAUGAAUCAUUGAAUAAAGGCUACCACAGGGAAGAGAUAGAACCUUGAGUGAGAAAUCUCCCUUUAUCUGAAGGCAGUGCUCAGGGAAAGACCCAGCUGUGAACCAUUAAAAGCAAACAAUCCCAGCAGCUAAGGGAAUCAGUGCCUUGGUCCCAAAGGGGAGAAUCUAGCGACCCAGAGCCUCUACUUCACAGAUGAGAUGAAGACUACUGUUAUUAUUAAAGGACAAUGAUAAUAAUUUCUAUCCCCUUUACAGAAGGAAGAUAAUAACUUUUAUGAAAAUCCACAGAUAAGCAAAGUACAUUCCUGGUAUCAUGGAAGGAGUCAGGGGAAAGAAUCCCUCAAAGCAGAGUAAUCGCGAGCAAGAGAUGUUGUACCGCCCUCCACCAAAGUUUCUUGCACUUCUAAUUUGAUCUGGGGAACUGCUCCCAAAGGAUCCAGAAUAACAGCCCUGGGAGAGAUUUGGCAAAGCCAUUGAUAAAAUGAGAUUUGGAGUGCAAGUCACUAUCUAGCUGGGAAGACAUGCCAGUGGAUCUGAGCGGUACAUGGGAUGGACUGGUUACACCAGAAAGAUGGACUGCCCAGUUCUCUUUGAGAGGGAACCUGUUGUCAGAGAUGAAGUAAGUGAAGUCUCCAACUGUUGCCCUUCAGGAUCUUCCACAGUGUGCACACCAUGCCUAACUCCACUCCUGUGUCUUCUAACCAGUGAUAAGAACAAGGCAGGAAAGUGGCUCUGGAAUCAAUGGACCACUGGGAUCGGGAACAUGGCGACGAGUCACCUCCAGCAGGAUGGAACUGAUGUGCUAUCACCUUGCAUAGACUUCGGUGUCAGAAUCACAGUUGGAGUUUUGAUGGCAGAUCUGGGAGAUCUCUUUCUGAGUGUCUUCGCGCGGUGUGAUGAAAACUAUGACAAGUGCCGCCAAGGGCCAUCCGGGGGAAAGCGGGCUCCUGAUGGCACCGUGGCACAUCCCCAGGGACCUUGUUCACCAGAUCUGGACGCAUGUGACUCUUAGGUCUUCCCCAAAGUCAAAACGCCCACGAAAGGUUAACAUCUGAACGGACUGAGAACUCUGAAGCAGCCAGGACAGUGCAAUGAAAGACGCUCACGAGAGAAACAUUCCACUCCUACUUCAGAAAGUGCGCUCAUCCCCGUUCCAGAGACAGACGAUACCAAGUGAUCGGAAAUGCAAUGAGAAUAUUUUCUGGGAUUACUGAAGUGUCUGGAAGCUUGACUGAACCAAGUAUUAGAGUUGGUAAAAAGCUUGCUAUUUUUAAAGAACAAUGGACGAGGCCAAGACAAGAAUGUGGAGGGAAUUAUAGACAGGUAAAGUUCCCAAUAUCAGACAGACCAUUUUACAUCCACCCUCUGAGAAAGAGAGAAAUAAAAAGAGGAAUGCUGGAUUCGGCUUUCACAAAGUCACAGACAGCUGGAGAGUUCUGCACCAUUUAUCCAACAAAUUUGGAAUUUUUAAGUUUUGGAGAGGAGAGAAGAAAUGACGUUCACUUUGGCUCUGGGUUAUCUUUGUAAUGGUUGCCCCUUGACACCAGGGAAUCUUCGACUUGAAAGGUCGAGAUGAUGCGUGCACAGCACAACUACGAGCUGAGAAUCAUCGCCAGGCUCUGAGCAUUAACAUUCCCUCCUCAGCACCACUCCGCCUCCUCUUUUGUGUGAUGGCAUUGCUUGGUUCCCUCUGCAUAGCCUAUAACUUUCCACCAACCCUGCACCAGCGAGCAUGGAAAUGAGCCAGUAGUGCGCUGGAGACCUGCCUUCAAACGCUGUGUUUCUGGUUCAUUCAAAGUUCUGUUUAGGGCUCCCAGAAGGCAUUGGGGAGUCAGGACAGAUGUGCCAAUGAACCAGAAACAUCUGGAAAGUUUCACUGAGUGAUUUAGGAUAUGCUUUGGAGACACAAUGAACUCCUUCGUUUAUGGCGACAGAAUCUCUAUUUCAAGACUAGGGAGGCCCCAGCAACCUGCCAGGUCAAAUUUGUAGGCAAAAGAUGAAUGAUAUUCUUACUGUCUGUGCCACGUUUUAAGGAUCUUGUUUGGACAGUAAAUUGGCUUGAAAUAAGAUAUGAAGAAUCUGGCUGUGAUUCUAACUCCCUGGCGAGACGGUUUUGGAGCCCAGGGAGAAAGGGCAAAGGGGAUGUGAGUCUCUCCAAUCAAGUAACUAAAUAGCAGCUGUUCCCAUAGGCAAGAAAUACAAAUGGCUCUGCUACUGAGCUAGGCUUACAAUAAAUCCAAACUAAUCUUUGGGAAACUGCUCUAAAUUAUUAGUGUUAACAAGCAUUUACUGACAAUUGCAUUAUUUUCUCUCCUCAGAAUCUCAGAGCCUAACAAACCUCUCCUGUCCCUUCUCCUUGUUUUGUCAUUUCAUUACAGUUCUUUUUUUCCCCACUUUUACAAAGGGAAACAAAAUGCCACUCCAAGAUUCUGUGCAAAGAUGCGAUUGCCAGAAAAACAACCCUUAACUCUCCUUCCUAGCAUUAGCUGUAGAUUCUGCCCAAUUAUUUAUUGCAACUAGGAGGUGAUUGUGAUCCACAGGAGUCACACAGACAAAUACAGUCGUCCCUCCAGAUCCAUUUGAAGUGGAUUUCAGGACCCUGAAGAUACCAAAAUCUAUAGAUGCUCAAUUCCUGUAUAUAAUGUGACAUAAGUUUUGCAUAAAAGCUUCACAAUCCUCUCACUACAUUAAAUCAUCUCUGAUUAUUAUAAUACCAAAUAGAAUGUAAAUGUUAUAUUGCAUUGUACUGCUUAAAAAAU